CUAUAAAAAUCGACCUGUCACCAUAACACAUUGCACCAACAACUCUUCAUGGAUUUGAAUUUGCAGCCAAAGGGACCUUGCUGCAGGUGGGAUCAGUGCUUUAUGGUACCAUAUAUACCAUGCAGCUCCCCAAGAAGAAGAAUGGUGAGAUGGGUGUAUUUCUGUUGACAACCGGGUGAGUGGAUUCCAUGCUAUGCUUGCGAAGUGAUCAGUCUUUUGCAGAUCAGUCUUUGUUUCGUUGUCUGUUCGACCUUGAACAUGCGUGUUUGGGAUUACAUAUUAAAACCCUAGUUAGCUAGAAUUUCUUUGCUAGCUCCAACAUGAUGCAACAAAAACAAAUCUAUUAAUUAUUAUCAUAUAUAUAUAACUAUUCCAUGGGAUACAAAAUCCUAUGGAUUUCUUCUUAGCACGAUUUUCUUGAUCAUUAAGAUCUAAAUCUGAUGAGAAAGUUCUGCAGGUCAUCGAAAUUGAUCAUGACUAACACCCUGACUUCUUUUGUUUCUUUUUUUUUACCUUUCCUUUAUCACGAGAAAAACAAUAUAAUUUCUGAUCGGUGCAAGAACUAUAUAGUAAAAGCUUUGAGAAUUGGGUUGCUAAAGAAAAAUAAAUUAAAAGUAAUUAAAUCAUUUUUAUCCAAAAAGGAAAACCAAGAAUGAUAAAAUGAUAGUUCGAACAGAAUAAUAACCUUUAAGGUCGAACACAUGACGAAUGUAAGGCAAAAGCAAAAGACUGCUUAUUUGGCAAGUGUUUGCAUGGAACUUGAUCCGCCCUAGUUAAGUUUUGAAGGCAGCUCCGAUGUAAAUAACUACAACAAAUUUAAAGGGGUCAAGCGCCAAAGAUCGUCUUCCAACCAAAAUUAGUAUCCUCAGUUCUUGGAGUGUCGAUCAAGAUGAAGAUGGAAAACCCAGAUAUAUGGAGGUGAGAUCUCUCUCAUGCCCGCUUUUCAUCUUAUGUGAAUUUGUUUCUGUGGGGUAUUAUUUCUUUCUAGUUAUCCAAACAAGUCCUAGCUAACAAUUUAUUUUUUACGUAUUUUAUUGUGCUGGACGGAUCUUAGAUAAUACAAUAGAAAUAAUCCCUUUCCAAAUUCAAACCAAAAGAAGUAAGUAAUUAUGAUUUGUUAUAGGACAUAUUUUCUCUCUAGCUACACACCUAUCCAAUAUUUUCAAAAGAGUAAAAUGUGUUAAGCCUGGACUCUUGAAUAUUGAUCAAGAUAGUGAGACAUGGCACGAAUGGGUGAAGACAGGCUCGAAGAAGAAAGCAAUUAUGACGCCACUGCCUCCAGGGGUUUGUUCCCUCACUUCUUUUACUUAUCACUUUAUAUGAUUUUCAGUAAUGAUCUGUUAGUACAGCUAAUGAUCUCUUUCUAAUAUCCUUCGCAUUUUGGUUGCUACGAACCUUUUAUUUUAGUAUGUUUUAUGUAAUGUAUAGUACAAUGUACAUAGGCUUUACAUUCCUUAAUUAGGGUUUGGACUUUGAAGGAAUGGAGAAGUGUUCUGAUUGGACUUAACUGUGCUAGUGGAUCUGUAUUUGUUCAUUGCUUUGUGAUCUUGAAUUCAUGAGAAAAAAACAUUUUUAUUUUUUCCAUGUGAGACAAAGAUUACACACACACAUGUAUAUAUAUAUAUAAGUGUAUUGAUCAUGGAAGAGGAAGAGUUCUUAUUUUUUCAACAUGGAACAAAGUUUUAUGAUUGAAUUUUGGUA